rnacentral:lncRNA from 1 species
UCGGAACUUGCAUGGGCCAAAAGAACCACCCAUGCACUACCAUACUUGUGCCAAAAAUCGUCACUGAAUGAGUCGCACAUGUAAAUCUCGCUCGGAUAUGGGGAAAUCAUGCCAGAGAAAGGUAUGGAUACGUGGACCUGCGCCUAGCCAAUGAUGCAGUUCUCCUUCUUCUCUUCAUGCACUAUCACGUGUUCUCUCUCUUUGACCUUCUGGUUGUGGGCCACUCUGUCGUACCCCAUGCUGCACGCACUAAAUCAGUCUUGCCAUCGGUCUAGUCUGUUCCCGCUCACUCUCUCUCUCUCUACUCGUUUGACUCUGAUUUUCUUCCUUAUUCCUGAUUUUUUUUCUUUAUUUUUAAUGGACAGGAGGACAGAGAGCCCUAUACGCCUCUUCUUCCUUCUUCUUUGGUGUGUAGGUCUAGGCUU